rnacentral:rRNA from 1 species
CUACAGGCUUAACACAUGCAAGUCGAGGGGCAGCAUGGUCUUAUCUUGCUAAGGCCGAUGGCGACCGGCGCACGGGUGAGUAACGCGUAUCCAACCUGCCUUACACUCUUGGACAGCCUUCUGAAAGGGAGAUUAAUACAAGAUGUUAUCAUGAGUAAGCAUUUUCACAUGAUUAAAGGUUUACCGGUGUAAGAUGGGGAUGCGUUCCAUUAGAUAGUAGGCGGGGUAACGGCCCACCUAGUCUUCGAUGGAUAGGGGUUCUGAGAGGAAGGUCCCCCACAUUGGAACUGAGACACGGUCCAAACUCCUACGGGAGGCAGCAGUGAGGAAUAUUGGUCAAUGGACGAGAGUCUGAACCAGCCAAGUAGCGUGAAGGAUGAAGGUUCUAUGGAUUGUAAACUUCUUUUAUACGGGAAUAAACGAAUCCACGUGUGGAUUUUUGCAUGUACCGUAUGAAUAAGGAUCGGCUAACUCCGUGCCAGCAGCCGCGGUAAUACGGAGGAUCCGAGCGUUAUCCGGAUUUAUUGGGUUUAAAGGGAGCGUAGAUGGGUUGUUAAGUCAGUUGUGAAAGUUUGCGGCUCAACCGUAAAAUUGCAAUUGAUACUGGCAGUCUUGAGUACAGUUGAGGUAGGCGGAAUUCGUGGUGUAGCGGUGAAAUGCUUAGAUAUCACGAAGAACUCCGAUUGCGAAGGCAGCUUACUAACCUGUAACUGACAUUGAUGCUCGAAAGUGUGGGUAUCAAACAGGAUUAGAUACCCUGGUAGUCCACACGGUAAACGAUGAAUACUCGCUGUAGGCGAUAUACAGUCUGCGGCCAAGCGAAAGCAUUAAGUAUUCCACCUGGGGAGUACGCCGGCAACGGUGAAACUCAAAGGAAUUGACGGGGGCCCGCACAAGCGGAGGAACAUGUGGUUUAAUUCGAUGAUACGCGAGGAACCUUACCCGGGCUUAAAUUGCAACCGAAUAUGGCGGAAACGCUAUAGCUAGCAAUAGCGGUUGUGAAGGUGCUGCAUGGUUGUCGUCAGCUCGUGCCGUGAGGUGUCGGCUUAAGUGCCAUAACGAGCGCAACCCUUGCCGAUAGUUACUAACAGGUUAUGCUGAGGACUCUGUCGGGACUGCCAUCGUAAGAUGUGAGGAAGGUGGGGAUGACGUCAAAUCAGCACGGCCCUUACGUCCGGGGCUACACACGUGUUACAAUGGGGGGUACAGAGGGCUGCUACCACGCAAGUGGAUGCCAAUCCCAAAAACCUCUCUCAGUUCGGAUUGAAGUCUGCAACCCGACUUCAUGAAGCUGGAUUCGCUAGUAAUCGCGCAUCAGCCACGGCGCGGUGAAUACGUUCCCGGGCCUUGUACACACCGCCCGUCAAGCCAUGGGAGCCGGGGGUACCUGAAGUGCGUAACCGCAAGGAGCGCCCUAGGGUAAAACUGGUGACUGGG